rnacentral:rRNA from 1 species
AUACGGAGGAUGCGAGCGUUAUCCGGAUUUAUUGGGUUUAAAGGGAGCGUAGGCGGGAGCUUAAGUCAGCGGUUAAAUGGUGCGGCUCAACCGUGCCCUGCCGUUGAACCUGGGUUUCUUGAGAGUGCAAGAGGCGGAUGGAAUUCAUGGUGUAGCGGUGAAAUGCUUAGAUAUAGUGAAGAACUCCGAUUGCGAAGGCUGUCCGCGAGGACACGUCUGACGCGGAUGCUCGAAGGUGCGGGAAUCCAACAGGAUUAGAUACCCUGGUAGUCCGCACGGUCAUCGAUGAUUACCCGCUGUCGACGGUAUACAGUCGGCGGCCCAGCGAAAGCGAUAAGUAAUCCACCUGGGGAGUACGCCGGCAACGGUGACACUCAAAUGAAUUGACGGGU